rnacentral:rRNA from 1 species
AGUAAAAAUAUCUUUGGUUGGGGCAACCACGAAGAAAAAUAAACCUUCGUCUUAAAAAAAAAAUUACAAUUUUAAAAUUUAUAAAAAAAAGAUCCAGAAAAUACUGAUCAAAGAAAAAAGUUACCGCAGGGAUAACAGCGUUAUUCUCUUUAAGAGUUCAUAUUGACAAGAGAGUUUGCGACCUCGAUGUUGGACCGGGGCACCCAAGAGGUGUAGCAGCCUCUAAAGGUAGGUCUGUUCGACCUUUAAAGCCCUACGUGAUCUGAGUUCAGACCGACGUAAGUCAGGUCAGUUUCUAUCUA